ACAUGGCUCCUUGUUUUCUUACAUAGGGAGUCGGACCUGCUCGGUGAAUAUAUUUUAACAGCCGCGGUACUCUGACCGUGCAAAGGUAGCAUAAUCAUUUGCCUUAUAAUUGAAGGCUAGUAUGAAUGGUUUGACGAGAAUUAAGCUGUCUCUUUUUAACUAAAUAUAACUUUAUUAAGAGGUGAAGAAGCCUGUAUUUUAUUGAAAGACAAGAAGACCCUAUCGAGCUUUAAAGAAUUUAGUAGAUUUACCGUAUAUUAAUAAAAAAGUAAAGCAACUAAUUAUUUUGGUUGGGGCGACUGAGGAACAAACAAAGCUUCCUUUAUGCUAAUUAAAACUUACAAGUAUUGAUCCAAUUUAUUUGAUUAAAGAAAUUAGUUACCGUAGGGAUAACAGCAUAAUCUCCUUUGAGAGCUCUCAUCGAAAAGGGGGUUUGUGACCUCGAUGUUGGACCAGAAUACCCAGAAGAUGCAGCCGUCUUCAAUGGUUGGUCUGUUCGACCAUUAAAAUUCUACAUGA
rnacentral:rRNA from 1 species